CCCGCGGUUAGACGGAAAGACCCCGUGCACCUUUACUACAGCUUCGCACUGGCAUCAGGAUUGUGAUGUGCAGGAUAGGUGGUAGGCAUCGAAACCGUGACGCAAGUCGCGGUGGAGCCUCCCUUGAGAUACCACCCUUGGCACUCUUGAUGUCUAACCGCGGUCCGUUAUCCGGAUCCGGGACCCUGUGUGGCGGGUAGUUUGACUGGGGCGGUCGCCUCCUAAAGCGUAAC
rnacentral:rRNA from 13 species